rnacentral:rRNA from 1 species
AGUGAACGCUGGCGGCAGGCCUAACACAUGCAAGUCGAGCGGAUGAAGGGAGCUUGCUCCUGGAUUCAGCGGCGGACGGGUGAGUAAUGCCUAGGAAUCUGCCUGGUAGUGGGUGAUAACGUCCGGAAACGGGCGCUAAUACCGCAUACGUCCUGAGGGAGAAAGUGGGGGAUCUUCGGACCUCACGCUAUCAGAUGAGCCUAGGUCGGAUUAGCGGGUUGGUGGGGUAAAGGCCUACCAAGGCGACGAUCCGUAACUGGUCUGAGAGGAUGAUCAGUCACACUGGAACUGAGACACGGUCCAGACUCCUAAGGGAGGCAGCAGUGGGGAAUAUUGGACAAUGGGCGAAAGCCUGAUCCAGCCAUGCCGCGUGUGUGAAGAAGGUCUUCGGAUUGUAAAGCACUUUAAGUUGGGAGGAAGGGCAGUAAGUUAAUACCUUGCUGUUUUGACGUUACCAACAGAAUAAGCACCGGCUAACUUCGUG